rnacentral:rRNA from 1 species
AGCGCAGGUGGUUGUAUAAGUCUGAAGUAAAAGGCAGUGGCUCAACCAUUGUGUGCUUUGGAAACUGUACAACUUGAGUGCAGAAGGGGAGAGUGGAAUUCCUAGUGUAGCGGUGAAAUGCGUAGAUAUUAGGAGGAACACCAGUGGCGAAGGCGGCUUACUGGACGGUAACUGACGUUGAGGCUCGAAAGCGUGGGGAGCAAACA